AGAACGAACGCUGGCGGCAUGCCUAACACAUGCAAGUCGAACGAGACCUUCGGGUCUAGUGGCGCACGGGUGCGUAACGCGUGGGAACCUGCCCUUAGGUUCGGAAUAACUCCUCGAAAGGGGUGCUAAUACCGGAUGAUGUCUUCGGACCAAAGAUUUAUCGCCUAUGGAUGGGCCCGCGUUGGAUUAGCUAGUUGGUGAGGUAAAGGCUCACCAAGGCGACGAUCCAUAGCUGGUCUUAGAGGAUGAUCAGCCACACUGGGACUGAGACACGGCCCAGACUCCUACGGGAGGCAGCAGUGGGGAAUAUUGGACAAUGGGCGAAAGCCUGAUCCAGCAAUGCCGCGUGAGUGAUGAAGGCCUUAGGUUGUAAAGCUCUUUACCCGGGAUGAUAAUGACAGUACCGGAGAAUAACGCCCGGCUAACUCCGUGCCAGCAGCCGC
rnacentral:rRNA from 1 species